AUACAGAGGGUGCAAGCGUUAAUCGGAUUUACUGGGCGUAAAGCGCGCGUAGGCGGCUAAUUAAGUCAAAUGUGAAAUCCCCGAGCUUAACUUGGGAAUUGCAUUCGAUACUGGUUAGCUAGAGUGUGGGAGAGGAUGGUAGAAUUCCAGGUGUAGCGGUGAAAUGCGUAGAGAUCUGGAGGAAUACCGAUGGCGAAGGCAGCCAUCUGGCCUAACACUGACGCUGAGGUGCGAAAGCAUGGGGAGCAAACAGGAUUAGAUACCCGCGUAGUCC
rnacentral:rRNA from 1 species